AAGUGUCCAAAGUUUAAAGGUCAUGUUCACAAUAAUAUAUAAUGAAUUAACAUUUUGUUGCUUUGCCACACGUGCACAAUAGAAACUCACAAAAAUAGCAAACGGCACAUUUUCCUUGCUUGACGUAGAAACAGGUAAACAGUUUUGGAUCACUGUGCCAAUGACUGUACCAGAUCUGUGUUACGCCUGGGUUGCCUUUGACAAUAAGGCACCGGACUACAGCCGUAUAGUUUUCAAACUAGAAGGCCAAUAGACGAGAGUAGGCAAGAAGGAGUCUACCUGGAUGGGCGAGAGGAAUGUCCAGUUGUCCAUAAAAGCAUGGUUUGUCAUCUGAUUUCUUUGAGCCUGGUGGAGAUGGAUGCAACCAUACUACAAGGCAGGACAUUUUGCUGCAUCCAAGUUGAGGGUUGCUACCAGCAGUAACAUGUAGCACUCUGUCAGUGCUACAGAGACAGAAUGGUCCAAGGACCUCCAGAGCCUUCUGAUCAAUUACCUGCGUUCUCUUCAGACUACAGAGAAGUGAGUCUGUUGGACUAUGGAACUUUAGAGCAGCACAUCAAAAGACCUGCCACCCUGUUGCCAGGUAUAUGCAAACAGUUCCCUGAAGAAGGAUGCCACUAUCACGGCUUAAAUGCCACAUUUUGGGGAUGACCAAAUGCCAUAUAGUUUUGUAUAAACUAAUUUGAUUAGAUUACAAAACAACUUUUUCAUAGCAUGUUUGUCACUAACUUUUACUUAUUUCUGUGGUAACUUAAACUCAACACGUGGAGAUUAUGAUUCAAAAGGUCUAAAGUAUAUGAACGUCUCAUGUAAAGGGUGAAUACAUUUUAUUAAUGUAUAUCACACAGGUCUCAAGGAAAAUAUAUAUAUAUACCCCAGACAAGAUUGAAGAAUGGGACAAGUAAAGUGAAUAUUUGUCAGUAA